AUUAUUUAAAAUAAAUGUUUAUGUAAAAGGAAAAUUAAUUAAAAUAGAAAGAUACAAAUUUAAUGGAAAAAAAGAAAUAAAAAGUAAAAAGAAAAAGACAUGCAAAAAUUAGGAAGAUGAGACUCGAACUCAUGACCUUUCAUAAUCACAACUCCUUACACAUGUUCUCUUACCAAUUAUGCUAUUUCACGUAUUCGAAAUAAAAUGGAAAUAGAAAGCAUAUGAAGGG
rnacentral:lncRNA from 1 species